rnacentral:rRNA from 1 species
ACGGGGUGCAGCAGGCGCGAAAACUUUACAAUGCUGGCAACAGCGAUAAGGGAACCUCGAGUGCCAGGUUACAAAUCUGGCUGUCGAGAUGCCUAAAAAGCAUUUCAUAGCAAGGGCCGGGCAAGACCGGUGCCAGCCGCCGCGGUAA